rnacentral:rRNA from 1 species
UACAGAGGGUGCAAGCGUUGUUCGGAAUUACUGGGCGUAAAGGGCGCGUAGGCGGCCUGUUAAGUCGAACGUGAAAUCCCUGGGCUCAACCCAGGAACUGCGUCCGAUACUGGCAGGCUUGAAUUCGGGAGAGGGAUGUGGAAUUCCAGGUGUAGCGGUGAAAUGCGUAGAUAUCUGGAGGAACACCGGUGGCGAAGGCGGCAUCCUGGACCGAUAUUGACGCUGAGGCGCGAAAGCCAGGGGAGCAAACGGG